GCUAUUUUAAAAGGUGUCCAGUGUGACGUGCAGCUGGUGGAGUCUGGGGGAGACCUGGUUAAGCCUGGAGGGUCCCUGAGACUCACCUGUGUAGCCUCUGGAUUCACCUUCAGUAGCUAUGGAAUGAGCUGGGUCUGCCAGGCUCUAGGUAAGGGGAUGCAGUGGGUCGCAUGUAUUACUUAUGGAGGUAGCACAUACUACGCAGACUCUGUGAAGAGCCGAUUCACAAUCUCCAGACAUAACGCCAAGAACAUGCUGUAUCUGCAGAUGAACAACCUGAGGGUCGAGGACAUGGCCACAUAUAACUGUGAGCAGAUGCACAUGGAGGCUACAGGCAGGCUUCCUUUCAGCAUCUUGGGCUUCCUCUCCACACAGCAGUUUCCCCACGGAUCCUCCCUGGAUAUAUGA